rnacentral:tRNA from 1 species
GGUUUCGUGGUGUAGUGGUUAUCACGUCUGCUUCACACACAGAAAGUCCCCAGUUUGAACCUGGGCGAAACCU